CGCACUACCGGUACCUGCACGUGUCCCAAAAAAUUCUAAAUCAGACCUAGGGCCCCUUUCGGCCAAUAUCGAAAUUCCGGCACGGCGGCUCCGCCGUGCUCCGGCGACGGCGAUUCGCCUCGGGUUGGCCGUUUUCGGCCGACUUCGGCCACACUUGCAUCGGUCCCUGCGAUAAAACAACCCUAGGGCCUUCGGUGGGCAAAAAAUCACGAAAAACUGAAACUCACCGGUAGCGGUGCUCUCGGGUGCGGCGGCUCCUCCGGCGUGAGUCGUGUUUUGAUGUUUGGCUCCGAUCAAC
rnacentral:lncRNA from 1 species